rnacentral:rRNA from 1 species
CUACGGGGGGCAGCAGUGAGGAAUAUUGCACAAUGGGGGGAACCCUGAUGCAGCAACGCCGCGUGGAGGAUGACGCAUUUCGGUGUGUAAACUCCUUUUAUAUGUCAAGAAAAUGACGGUAGCAUAUGAAUAAGCACCGGCUAACUCCGUGCCAGCAGCCGCGGUAAUACGGAGGGUGCAAGCGUUACUCGGAAUCACUGGGCGUAAAGGACGCGUAGGCGGGUUGGAAAGUCAGGUGUGAAAUCCUACAGCUUAACUGUAGAACUGCACUUGAAACUUCUAAUCUAGAGUAUGGGAGGGGGAGAUGGAAUUAGUGGUGUAGGGGUAAUAUCCGUAGAUAUCACUAGGAAUACCUAAAGCGAAGGCGAUCUCCCGGAACAUUACUGACGCUAAGGCGUGAAAGCGUGGGGAGCAAACAGGAUUAGAUACCCCAGUAGUC